rnacentral:lncRNA from 1 species
CAUACUCUGUUUUAUCCUGCAAUUGGGUGUCCUACUAUACAGAUACAGCCCUACAGAUAUCGCUAUGCUGUAUCUGUAUACUAUACAGAUAUCGCUUUAAAGCUCCGCCCACUGCCGGACUGAGUAUUGUUUGAACCUGUGUGACCUCAGAAUGUGUACUCCAGUUGCAUUCCAAUGACGAUGACAAUUGUCGAUUUCAAAACCUGAAUGUGUAUGUAUGAUUGUGUUACAAAAUCAACCAUGUCAAUUUCAGCAUGCAUGUUUAGUGAAUGUCAAGUCUGAAGCGUAGGACAACUCGUACACUUCUGUUUCAAAUUUGACAAUGUUUUGUUAUUUGUUUUUACUGUUGAAAUUAGUUGUUAUGUUAAAAUAGAUAAUUAUUCACCUUGAGCGAUGUAUUAUUGUUGACCAUUCGAGAUUCUUUUUUGCGAACCCGUCUUCAGCGUAAAGUGUGAUUUUGAUAUUACUACGCGGGCCUCAAGGGAUUACAAAUCGAAAAUAAAUGCUAAAUAUGUUAGUUUUUGUGUCUUUCAAAACACAAACAAUAUAUACAGAAUUAAUUGCAGGAUAAAGACAAUAACUGUUUAGUGUCUUUAAAUAUCAGCUGUAUUUGUACUCGGCUCGAAACAGGUGUAGUAGCUCGCUAAAAGCUCGCAUACACCUUGUUUCCUAGCCUCGUACAAAUACAGCUGAUAUUUAAAGACACUAAACAGUUAUUGUCUAUAUAUAU